CUGCCUGAUAGAGGGGGAUAGCCCAGAGAAAUUUGGAUUAAUACCGCAUAAUGUCUACGGACCAAAGCAGGGGAUCUUCGGACCUUGCACUAUCAGAUGGGCCUGCGUGAGAUUAGCUAGUUGGUGGGGUAAAGGCCUACCAAGGCGACGAUCUCUAGCUGGUUUGAGAGGAUGAUCAGCCACACUGGGACUGAGACACGGCCCAGACUCCUACGGGAGGCAGCAGUGGGGAAUAUUGCACAAUGGGCGCAAGUGAUGCAGCCAUGCCGCGUGUGUGAAGAAGGCCUUAGGGUUGUAAAGCACUUUCAAUAGUGAGGAAAAGUUGUAAGUUGAUACCUUGCAACCGUGACGUUAACUAUAGAAGAAGCACCGGCUAACUCCGUGCCAGCAGCCGCGGUAAUACGGAGGGUGCGAGCGUUAAUCGGAAUUACUGGGCGUAAAGCGCGCGUAGGGGUUAAUUAAGUUGGAUGUGAAAGCCCAGGGCUCAACCUUGGAACUGCAUCCAAAACUGGUUGGCUAGAGUAUUGUAGAGGGGUGUGGAAUUUCAGGUGUAGCGGUGAAAUGCGUAGAGAUCUGAAGGAACAUCAGUGGCGAAGGGACACCCUGGACAAAUACUGACGCUGAGGUGCGAAAGGUGGGGAGCAAACGGGAUUAGAUACCCCGGUAGUCCACGCCGUAAACGAUGUCUACUAGCCGUUGGGGUCCAUGUGGCCUUAGUGGCGCAGUAACGCACUAAGUAGACCGCCUGGGGAGU
rnacentral:rRNA from 1 species